GUAUGGUGCAAGCGUUAUCCGGAUUUACUGGGUGUAAAGGGAGCGUAGACGGCUGUGUAAGUCUGAAGUGAAAGCCCGGGGCUCAACCCCGGGACUGCUUUGGAAACUAUGCAGCUAGAGUGUCGGAGAGGUAAGUGGAAUUCCCAGUGUAGCGGUGAAAUGCGUAGAUAUUGGGAGGAACACCAGUGGCGAAGGCGGCUUACUGGACGAUGACUGACGUUGAGGCUCGAAAGCGUGGGGAGCAAACAGGAUUAGAUACCCUGGUAGUCCACGCCGUAAACGAUGACUACUAGGUGUCGGGGAGCAAAGCUCUUCGGUGCCGCAGCAAACGCAAUAAGUAGUCCACCUGGGGAGUACGUUCGCAAGAAUG
rnacentral:rRNA from 1 species